rnacentral:rRNA from 1 species
CCUACGAGAGGCUGCAGUGGGGAAUAUUGGGCAAUGGAGGAAACUCUGACCCAGCAAUGCCGCGUGAAUGAAGAAGGUCUUCGGAUUGUAAAGUUCUUUAGUCAGGGAAGAAUAAACUGACGGUACCUGAAGCAUAAGCUCCGGCUAACUACGUGCCAUCAGACGCGGUAAUACGUAGGGAGCAAGCGUUGUUCGGAAUGACUGGGCGUAAAGGGUGCGUAGGCGGUUAUUCAAGUUAGAAGUGAAAUACCAGGGGCUUAACUCGGGUGCUGCUUCUAAAACUGUAAGACUUGAGUGCAGGAGAGGUUAGUGGAAUUCGUAGUGUAGCGGUGGAAUGCGUAGAGAUUAGGAGGAACACCAGAGGCGAAGGCGGCUAACUGGACUGCAACUGACGCUGAGGCACGAAAGUGUGGGGAGCAAACAGGAUUAGAUACCCCUGUAGUC